GAUGCGUCUUACUUAUCAGGUUUAGGGGAGAGGAGAGAGCAGCGCUUUGGGGACGGCCAGAGAGGAAAGCGAAAUAAGUGUUUUCCUCUCGUCUCUCAACUCUUUCUUCCUCUUUAGGAAUUUGGAAGAAAGAGAGGGGAACAAAGUUGUCUAACUUUGCACAUCCUCAGUAACGCCAUUUUGAUUCCUCUCCGGAACAACUUUGCAGCUUCUUUUUUUUUCUUAGCCCAUCAUCACCAUUCACCAUCAUCAGUAUGUCUCGGCGCAAGCAGCCCAACCCCAACAAAGUCGAACUGUGAUCAGUGGGUGCUGACACUCGAGGCGGGCAGGCAGGCCGUCGUCUCCCCCCCAGCCCUGAGCUCCGAGCCCAGACACCUUUUUGCCCUGGUCUCUCGAGGUGAUGGAGAGCACGCGUCCGGGGGGAGGAGUGAGCGUCGAGCUGAGCGCUGGAGAGACCGAGCACUCGGAGGAGCAGGAGACCCCUGACUCCACACACACACAGGACAAACACACAGGGACUAACGGAGCGAUGGAGGAGGAGGAAGGCAUGGAUGGAGAAAAUGGAGAGAAUAUGACAGAGGAGGAAGGCGUGGACUUGUCAUCCAUCAACACCAUGUUGUCGACGGUGAUGAAUGCAGGCCAGCUCAACGGAGCCCUGGAGCCUUCCACACCCUCCACCCCCAUCAGCAAGACCACCCUGCCCAGACCCCUAGUGUCAACCGCAACGCCCGGAGGAACACCACGACUAGGAUAGCAGACUCUGUGGGAUUUUCCCCAUGGUAAAUGGAGUAGAC
ensembl:lncRNA